UAACAAUGAGGACUGGGGGAGGCUCGCCAAGCCCCGUGGCCCACCACUGGCACACAGCAGUGUGGGCUCAAUGAACACCACCUUAAGAGCGAGGCCCUGUCUCUAACCUCUCAGGCUUUAACCUCUCCAAACACGAAUUUAACCACAGUGACCUGGGCCUGGUAUCGGGGGAGUGUCUCCUAAACCUAGCCUGGUUAAUUCUGUCUCAGAUUCUUAGGGGAAGACAGUAGCUCCUGACUCAUCACCAUGAGGAUAACAGGAGAGAAAGUUCUCUUCCCGGUGCUUGACACACAGCAGGCAACGCCACAAAUGCUGAUUCUCCUUCCUUCCGGAGUCCACCAGGGAUGGGUAUGUAAGGUCCUGCCUGUGGCUCUGUCUGCCUUACCCGUGCAGGUGCCUCUAUGAACACGCUGAUGCCUGGGUGACGUGUCAAGUAGGAGACAGGGACAAUCCACGUGCCUCCUUUGUUGGACGUCUGUUCCUAACUGAUUAGCAACUGUGAAAGAUCUCUGAAGGGGCCCAGGACCCCGAGUCAGAAAAGUUUGGUGACUCUCCCGAUCCAGGAACAAGCACUGCUCACAUCCACACCGGCCACUGAUGAAGUCAGAUCCACUCAAACCGUACUUCAGUGAUACUCUGAACAAAGAGAGCCAGUGGACUGGAAUCGCAACGCCUUUUAACUUAAAAAGCGCAAUGUUUAAGCAUCCGUAAUAAAAGGUGAAGUAAACA